rnacentral:rRNA from 1 species
UACGGGGGGGGCAAGCGUUGUUCGGAAUUACUGGGCGUAAAGGGCUCGUAGGCGGCCAACUAAGUCAGACGUGAAAUCCCUCGGCUUAACCGGGGAACUGCAUCUGAUACUGGAUGGCUUGAGUUCGGGAGAGGGAUGCGGAAUUCCAGGUGUAGCGGUGAAAUGCGUAGAUAUCGAGAGGAACACCUGCGGCGAAGGCGGGUUGCUGGGCUGACACUGACGCUGAAGCGCGAAAGCUAGGGGAGCGAACGGG